rnacentral:rRNA from 1 species
AACGGCUUACCACGGCAGCGACUGAUAGCUUGGUCUGAGAGGACGACCAGCCACACGGGGACUGAGACGCGGCCCGGACUCCUACGGGAGGCAGCAGCAAGGAAUCUUGGGCAAUGGGCGAAAGCCUGACCCAGCAACGCCGCGUGAGGGAUGAAGGCUUUCGGGUUGUAAACCUCUUUUCACAGGGAAGAAUAMUGACGGUACCUGUGGAAUAAGCUUCGGCUAACUACGUGCCAGCAGCCGCGGUAAUACGUAGGAAGCAAGCGUUAUCCGGAUUUAUUGGGCGUAAAGUGAGCGUAGGUGGUCUUUCAAGUUGGAUGUGAAAUUUCCCGGCUUAACCGGGACGUGUCAUUCAAUACUGUUGGACUAGAGUACAGCAGGAGAAAACGGAAUUCCCGGUGUAGUGGUAAAAUGCGUAGAUAUCGGGAGGAACACCAGAGGCGAAGGCGGUUUUCUAGGUUGUCACUGACACUGAGGCUCGAAAGCGUGGGGAGCGAACAGAAUUAGAUACUCUGGUAGUCCAYGCYGUAAACUAUGGACACUMGGUAUAGGGAGUGACSACCCUCUYKGUGCCGAAGCUAACGCUUUAAGUGUCCCGCCUGGGGAUUACUGUCGCAAGGCUAAAAYUCAAAGGAAUUGACGGGGGCCCGCCCAAGCAGC